rnacentral:rRNA from 1 species
CUUACCAGGCCUUGACAUGGAAACAAAGGCUCUAGAGAUAGAGAGAUAAUUAUGGAUCACACAGGUGGUGCAUGGUUGUCGUCAGCUCGUGUCGUGAGAUGUUGGGUUAAGUCCCGCAACGAGCGCAACCCUUGUCGCAUGUUACCAGCAUCAAGUUGGGGACUCAUGCGAGACUGCCGGUGACAAACCGGAGGAAGGUGGGGAUGACGUCAAAUCAUCAUGCCCCUUAUGGCCUGGGCUACACACGUACUACAAUGGCGAUCCACAAAAAGCAGCGACUUGGUGACAAGAAGCGAAUC